CCCUUAGAUGUUCUGGGCCGCACGCGCGCUACACUGAUGCAUUCAACGAGUCUAAAACCUGCUCUGAUAGGGGUGGGUAAUCUUUUGAAUGUGCAUCGUGAUUGGGAUAGAUGAUUGCAAUUUUUCAUCUUCAACGAGGAAUGCCUAGUAAACGCAAGUCAUCAGCUUGCAUUGAUUACGUCCCUGCCCUUUGUGCACACCGCCCGUCGCUCCUACCGAUUGAAUGAUCCGAUGAAUAUCAUGGAUUGAGGAUGCAAGUAGGUUCGCCUAUCUUCAUCUUCGAGAAGUGAAGUAAAUCUUAUCAUUUAGAGGAAGGAGAAGUCGUAACA
rnacentral:rRNA from 1 species